rnacentral:lncRNA from 1 species
GGACGGCCAUGUGCGCGGCGGAGAGGCCGGGUGGCCACCGAACCUUCCCGCCUGUUCUGCGGUGGGUAGGAGUUUGGAAACUAAUGUUCCUGUGCUAACCUUCGUGUCUCUGUGACAUGACUGUUGAAAGACGGAGAGUGCGGAAUCUUUGGAGUUUUAAGCUUGCCAACUGUGCGGCCUAGCAGAAUCCUGGGAGACGGAAGGACAGCCAAGAGGCUAGGAUUUACCUUUAAGUGUCCCUAGAUUCAACUAGGCAGACUGGGACGGGAGACGCUGUGAAGAUCCUAGUAACUGCUUGGAUUACUGCCACCUCAGAGGUAGAGAUCUGUUUUUCCGUGGCUGGAAUGCCAAAAAUUUUGUUGUAUUUUAUUAAGAAAGUAGCAAAAGUUUGGAGAUUUGCAAAGUUAAAAAAAAAAAAAAAAAA